GCAGAGUGGAACCACCCCUUCCCAUCCCGAACAGGACGGUGAAACGCUCCCGCGCCAAUGAUAGUAGGCACUGCGCCUGUGAAAGUAGGUC
rnacentral:rRNA from 1 species